CGUUGGAUAUCUUUCCUGAUCCAGCGGCUGAAAAUGAAACCCUAGCCUCACUGUACACGAUUGCCACUCUAUCCUCUGCCAUCUCUCUCAGUCCUUCCAAGUCGGUGAGAGAGACUCAGUCGAUCGUUCUUCUGGAUUUAUAUUUUUCGGCUACAGGUCUUACUUUCUUUCGUAUGUGGAAAUGUUAGACUCCAUCUGAUUCAUUUGUGAUUUUAGAGAUAAUAUAAAUAGAACUCUAUAUUAUGUUCUGCAAGGGCUUACUCACAAUCAAUGCUCCCAUCUUGAGGCAAUUUUCCUCAUCAGCACCGAAUGUGCUUAAAAUUGGAGACGUCUUGAGUGAAACAAGAGUAUUUACGACACAGGAUGUUGUCGACUAUGCUAAAGUGAGCCAUGACUCAAAUCCUCUGCAUUUUGAUUCUGAAGUUGCUCAAAAUGCUGGAUUUGAGGAUCGCCUAGUUCAUGGGAUGCUUGUUGCUUCGCUAUUUCCUCGGAUUAUUUCCUCCUAUUUUCCUGGGGCUGUAUAUGUUUCCCAAAGCUUGCAAUUCAGAUCGCCUGUCUAUGUUGGAGAUGAAAUUUUGGGAGAGAUACAUGCUAUUAAUUUAAGAGAAACCAAGAAGAAAUAUCUGGCAAAACUGACAACAAAGUGCUUCAAGAAUGGCCGGCUUCUUGUUCUUGAAGGUGAAGCUUUGGCCAUCUUACCAUCUCUAGCUGUGGAACAACGACACUCUUUGGCUGAUAAUAGCUAAUCCAAAGGUAUGAAGCAAAAUAUAUCGUCUCUGAUCAGCAUCUAGUAGCUGCUGUGCAUUUGCUGGUUUCCUUUGCGAUGCUACUAAAAAUAGCUAUUCUAGAUUCCUUCUGUGUCCUAGUAUGUUGCAAUCGUUUGUAAUCUUAUCGUGGUUUGGCAAGGGCUUUCCCCAAAAUGAGGCUUACUUGAGCAAAGAAAUCAUGUUAGUCCUGCUUCUAUUGCCCAAGGUCGGCCGAUGCUACGAUGGCGUGGGGCCUAUUUUCUGUUUCUUCAUUUAAAAAAAAUUACACAUGGAAAGAAAAGAGGAACUUUAGGUUUCUGAAUCAUAAUGAAAUAGAAAUAAAUAUAUCAAGCAAUGCAGCCAUCAUAGUCCCACAGGUGUGCCAACCAUGCAUGUACAAUAUGGCCAGCUGUAUUCAAUUUGAAUUUGUGUUCUUUUCUAGUUAAAUGCAUCUAAGAAAAAUAUUUGAAUGAUAGUAACUACAUAACCAACCACCAGCAGGGAAGAAAAGGGAUAAGGAAUUAAAAACAAUCAAUAGCACUGUAAAAUAACCUAAAAGAAAAAAAAAUCCUAUAUAUUUAUCACAAUUUAACAAACAGUUGGGCUGGCCUUUGUUGAGAUUGAGCUUCAGUCACUAGGCCUAUGCUAAUCUGAAAUUGAUUAGACCUAUGUUUUAGCUUUGUGCUUCGCCCGACAGGACCAACACCUCUUUAAGUAUUUAUGGGGCAUGCUGCCCUGUGAUAAGAUCUUUAGCAUACUUUUAUUUUCACUUGAAUAUAUUAUUCUGAUUUCUGAAAUGUUGUGGUUGUGUUCAUGUGAUGUGCUUGGAUGUUGUUGAGUGGAGAGAACUGAUUGAACGGUGGAUAUAUUGUGUAUGAGAGUUCCUUAAUUGAGGUAAAGUGAGCUAGUUUUUUUUAUAGAUGAUUCCCAGUUGCAUGUGGAUGGUGCCCCUUUGUUGCCUCAGUUAAUCUAAUUCAGUUUUUUUCACUGCUGGAAGAAAUCUCUCUAAGUAACGGUUGUAGUCAUGUCUGUUGGCUAGGUGGACCCUCCCCCAUACUGAGUAACUGUGAUAAUUUGCCUACUUUACAACCUCUAGUUCAACCCAAUGUUCAUUAUACAUUUUUCAAGCUCGCUCAACUUGUGUCUGUUAGUUUGAAUACUGCAAGGUCAGAAGAUCAUCAAGACAAGUGUGUUUCAUUUUUUUGCCAAUUUAGGGCAUGAGAUUCCCAAUAAUCAGAGUAGCUGUCAACAAAGGGAUUCUUAAAAAUAAAAUUCACACUUCAAUUUCUGUUCUUUCUUAUGCAUGAGAAGUUUGCAGGAAAUUAAAAGGAGCGUUGAUGCUGGAUGGAAUCUCCUCUUCCCAAGUAAAAUUUGGUUUCUGCCAUAUGCACGAAAGUGAAUUGAAAAGGUGAACUCAUAAUUUUUGGCCAAUUGUUCUAUACUAACCUGCAACCAAUUUUGUCGAGAGAAAAUGUAUGCUUACUCAUUAUUAGGCAGCAAAGUGAAGAAGUUAAUCAACUGUGUCGGCUCAGCAUAUACUUUUAUGUAAUUUUGUAGUUUGUACAAGCAAUAUUUUUUUGGGAGCAGUUGCAUAAAAA